rnacentral:rRNA from 1 species
CCUACGGGAGGCAGCAGUGGGGAAUAUUGCGCAAUGGGCGAAAGCCUGACGCAGCGACGCCGCGUGAGGGAUGAAGGUCUUCGGAUCGUAAACCUCUGUCAGCAGGGAAGAACGGUCACUGUGCUAAUCAGCAGUGAAUUGACGGUACCUGACGAAUAAGCCACGGCUAACUACGUGCCAGCAGCCGCGGUACUACGUAGGUGGCACGCGUUAUCCGGAUUUACUGGGUGUAAAGGGCGUGUAGGCGGGACUGCAAGUCAGAUGUGAAACCCACGGGCUCAACCUGUGGCCUGCAUUUGAAACUGUAGUUCUUUAGUACUGGAGAGGCAGACGGAAUUCCUAGGGUAGCGGUGAAAUGCGUAGAUAUUAGGAGGAACACCAGUGGCGAAGGCGGUCUGCUGGACAGCAACUGACGCUGAGGCGCGAAAGCGUGGGGAGCAAACAGGAUUAGAUACCCCAGUAGUC